GGGGGGUGCAAGCGUUGUUCGGAAUUAUUGGGCGUAAAGAGCGUGUAGGUGGUUUGUUAAGUCUGUUGUGAAAGCCCUGGGCUCAACCCAGGAAGUGCACUGGAUACUGGCAGACUUGAAUACGGGAGAGGGUAGUGGAAUUCCUAGUGUAGGAGUGAAAUCCGUAGAUAUUAGGAGGAACACCGGAGGCGAAGGCGGCUACCUGGACCGAUAUUGACGCUGAGACGCGAAAUCGUGGGUAGCAAACAGGAUUAGAUACCCUGGUAGUCCACGCCGUAAACGAUGAGAACUAGGUGUUGCGGGUAUUGACCCCUGCAGUGCCGCAGCUAACGCAUUAAGUUCUCCGCCUGGGAAGUACGGUCGCAAGACUA
rnacentral:rRNA from 1 species